UACGGGGGGGGGCAAGCGUUGUUCGGAAUUACUGGGCGUAAAGGGCUCGUAGGUGGCCAACUAAGUCAGACGUGAAAUCCCCCAGCUUAACCUGGGAACUGCGUCUGAUACUGGAUGGCUUGAAUUCGGGAGAGGGAUGCAGAAUUCCAGGUGUAGCGGUGAAAUGCGUAGAUAUCUGGAGGAAUACCGGUGGCGAAGGCGGCAUCCUGGACCGAGAUUGACACUGAUGAGCGAAAGCCAGGGGAGCAAACGGG
rnacentral:rRNA from 1 species